GAUGAACGCUGGCGGCGUGCCUAAUACAUGCAAGUCGAGCGAACGGACGAGAAGCUUGCUUCUCUGAUGUUAGCGGCGGACGUGUGAGUAACACGUGGAUAACCUACCUAUAAGACUGGGAUAACUUCGGGAAACCGGAGCUAAUACCGGAUAAUCUUUUGAACCGCAUGGUUCAAAAGUGAAAGACGGUCUUGCUGUCACUUAUAGAUGGAUCCGCGCUGCAUUAGCUAGUUGGUAAGGUAACGGCUUACCAAGGCAACGAUGCAUAGCCGACCUGUGAGGGUGGUCGGCCACACUGGAACGGAGACACGGUCCAGACUCCUACGGGAGGCAGCAGUAGGGAAUCUUCCGCAAUGGGCGAAAGCCUGACGGAACAACGCCGCGUGAGUGAUGGAGGUCUUCGGAUCGUAAAACUCUGUUAUUAGGGAAGAACAGAUGUGUAAGUAACUGUGCACAUCUUGACGGUACCUAAUCAGAAAGCCACGGCUAACUACGUG
rnacentral:rRNA from 1 species